GACGAACGCUGGCGGCGUGCUUAACACAUGCAAGUCGAACGGUGAAAGCGGAGCUUGCUCCGCUGGAUCAGUGGCGAACGGGUGAGUAACACGUGGGCAACCUGCCCCUCACUUCGGGAUAACUCCGGGAAACCGGGGCUAAUACCGGAUAUGACCUCCUUGGGCAUCCUUGGAGGUGGAAAGUUUUUCGGUGAGGGAUGGGCCCGCGGCCUAUCAGCUUGUUGGUGAGGUAGUGGCUCACCAAGGCGACGACGGGUAGCCGGCCUGAGAGGGCGACCGGCCACACUGGGACUGAGACACGGCCCAGACUCCUACGGGAGGCAGCAGUGGGGAAUAUUGCGCAAUGGGCGAAAGCCUGACGCAGCAACGCCGCGUGCGGGAUGACGGCCUUCGGGUUGUAAACCGCUUUCAGCAGGGAAGAAGCCGCAAGGUGACGGUACCUGCAGAAGAAGCACCGGCUAACUACGUGCCAGCAGCCGCCGCAGUAA
rnacentral:rRNA from 1 species